rnacentral:rRNA from 1 species
CCUACGGGAGGCAGCAGUAGGGAAUAUUGGGCAAUGGUCGGAAGACUGACCCAGCCAUGCCGCGUGCAGGAAGAAGGCCUUCUGGGUUGUAAACUGCUUUUAUCUAGGAAGAAAACGCCCAUGCGUGGGAAACUGACGGUACUAGAUGAAUAAGCACCGGCUAACUCCGUGCCAGCAGCCGCGGUAAUACGGAGGGUGCAAGCGUUGUCCGGAUUUAUUGGGUUUAAAGGGUGCGUAGGCGGCCUUUUAAGUCAGUGGUGAAAGCCCAUAGCUCAACUAUGGAACUGCCAUUGAUACUGAAAGGCUUGAGUACAGACGAGGUAGGCGGAAUUGAUGGUGUAGCGGUGAAAUGCAUAGAUACCAUCAAGAACACCGAUUGCGUAGGCAGCUUACUAGGCUGUAACUGACGCUGAGGCACGAAAGCGUGGGGAGCGAACAGG